AUUUUCAGCAAAAUCCGAGCUAUUCGGUGUUUGCGUACUUUUGGAGCUACAGUAACCCGG
rnacentral:sRNA from 1 species